rnacentral:rRNA from 1 species
AGAGCUCAAAUUUGAAAGCUGGCGUCUUCGGCGUCCGCGUUGUAAUCUCGAGACGUGUUUUCCGUGCGGCUCUAUGGACAAGUCCCUUGGAACAGGGCAUCGUAGAGGGUGAAAAUCCCGUACUUGCCAUGGAAGUACCGUGCUUUGUGAUACACGCUCCAAGAGUCGAGUAGUUUGGGAUUGCUGCUCAAAGUGGGUGGUAGACUCCAUCUAAAGCUAAAUAUCGGGGAGAGACCGAUAGCGAACAAGUACCGUGAGGGAAAGAUGAAAAGCACUUUGGAAAGAGAGUUAAAAGUACGUGAAAUUGUCGAAAGGGAAGCACUUGAAGUCAGCCAUGCUGCUUGAGACUCAGCCUGGCUUUUGCUUGGUGUAUUUCUCGGUAGCAAGCCAGCAUUGGUUUGUGUCGUCGGAGAAGCGUAUGGGGAAUGUGGCAUCCUCGGAUGUGUUAUAGCCCUGUGCAGGAUACGACGACGUAGACCAAGGAACGCAGUGUGCCCUCUGGGCGGGUC